rnacentral:rRNA from 1 species
UACAGAGGGUGCAAGCGUUGUUCGGAAUUACUGGGCGUAAAGCGCACGUAGGCGGCUUUGUAAGUUAGAGGUGAAAGCCCAGGGCUUAACCCUGGAAUUGCCUUUAAGACUGCAUCGCUAGAAUCGUGGAGAGGUGAGUGGAAUUCCGAGUGUAGAGGUGAAAUUCGUAGAUAUUCGGAGGAACACCAGUGGCGAAGGCGACUCACUGGACACGUAUUGACGCUGAGGUGCGAAAGCGUGGGGAGCAAACAGG